UCGCCUGUUUAUCAAAAACAUGUCCUUUUGUUUUUAUAUAAGGUCUGACCUGCCCAAUGAUUAUUAUUUAAUGGCCGCGGUAUUUUAACUGUGCUAAGGUAGCAUAAUCAUUUGUCUUUUAAUUGAAGGCUGGUAUGAAUGGUUGGACGAGGCAUAAUCUUUCUUUGGUUUAAUUUAUGAAUUUAAUUUUUUAGUUAAAAAGCUAAAAUUUAUUUGUUGGACGAGAAGACCCUAUAGAUCUUUAUAUUUAAUUUUAAUUAAUUAAUUUGGUUUAUUUAUUAUUUGAAUUAAUUUGAGUAUUUGGUUGGGGUGACUGUAGAAUUUAAUUAACUUCUAUUUUUGUUUAUUCAUUAAUUUAUGUAUUUUUGAUCCAUUAUUAGUGAUUAUAAGAUUAAGUUACCUUAGGGAUAACAGCGUAAUUUUUUUGGAGAGUUCAUAUCGAUGAAAAAGUUUGCGACCUCGAUGUUGGAUUAAAAUAAGUAAUGAGUGCUGCGGGUAUGAACUAGGUCUGUUCGACC
rnacentral:rRNA from 1 species